AACGAACGCUGGCGGUAUGCCUAACACAUGCAAGUCGAACGAGACCUUCGGGUCUAGUGGCGCACGGGUGCGUAACGCGUGGGAAUCUGCCCUUGGGUUCGGAAUAACUCAGAGAAAUUUGAGCUAAUACCGGAUGAUGACGUAAGUCCAAAGAUUUAUCGCCCAAGGAUGAGCCCGCGUAAGAUCAGCUUGUUGGUGGGGUAAUGGCCUACCAAGGCGACGAUCUUUAGCUGGUCUGAGAGGAUGAUCAGCCACACUGGGACUGAGACACGGCCCAGGCUCCUACGGGAGGCAGCAGUGGGGAAUAUUGGACAAUGGGCGAAAGCCUGAUCCAGCAAUGCCGCGUGAGUGAUGAAGGCCUUAGGGUUGUAAAGCUCUUUUACCAGGGAUGAUAAUGACAGUACCUGGAGAAUAAGCUCCGGCUAACUCCGUGCCAGCCGCCGCCGUAA
rnacentral:rRNA from 1 species